CGCGUAGGCGGUUUAUCAAGCUUGAUGUGAAAGACCCCGGCUUAACCGGGGGAACGCGUUGAGAACUGUUAGACUAGAGUAUAAGAGGGGGAGUUGGAAUUCCAGGUGUAGGGGUGAAAUCUGUAGAUAUCUGGAAGAACACCGGUGGCGAAGGCGAACUCCUGGCUAUAUACUGACGCUGAGGCGAGAAAGUGUGGGGAGCGAACAGGAUUAGAUACCCUGGUAGUCC
rnacentral:rRNA from 1 species